rnacentral:rRNA from 1 species
CCUACGGGUGGCUGCAGUGAGGAAUAUUGGUCAAUGGCCGUAAGGCUGAACCAGCCAAGUAGCGUGAGGGAAGACUGCCCUAUGGGUUGUAAACCUCUUUUAUGCGGGGAUAAAGGUGUCCACGUGUGGAUGUUUGCAGGUACCGCAUGAAUAAGGACCGGCUAAUUCCGUGCCAGCAGCCGCGGUAAUACGGAAGGUCCGGGCGUUAUCCGGAUUUAUUGGGUGUAAAGGGAGCGUAGGUCGGACUUCAAGCGUGCCGUGAAAUUUUGUGGCUCAACCAUGAGAGUGCUGCGCGAACUGGAGACCUUGAGUGCGCGGAAGGCAGGCGGAAUUCGUGGUGUAGCGGUGAAAUGCGUAGAUAUCACGAGGAACCCCAGUUGCGAAGGCGGCCUGCCGCAGCGUUACUGACGCUGAGGCUCGAAAGCGCGGGUAUCGAACAGGAUUAGAUACCCGGGUAGUC